rnacentral:rRNA from 1 species
AUGGAGUUAGUAUGCUGGAACGUACGUGGCCUCAAUAGUCCAUCUAGGAGGGAUGCGUUGAGGGAGUUAGAGGAUUCUAUGCAUGUGUCGAUCUGGUGCAUCCUAGAGACUAAACUAGAGCAUGUAGACCCUUAUGUGAUUAUGCAAUGUUUAGGGCCAUCUUAUGAUGGUUUUGCGUACUUGCCGGCUUCGGCCACUCGAGGUGGCAUCAUCAUUGCUUGGAACUCUUCCAAGGUGACGGUUUCUAACACAGUUCGAGACACUAACUUCAUCACGGGAUUUGUCACACCGAGGGAAGGAGCUUCUUGGUGGCUUACGGUGGUAUAUGGGCCUCAAUAG